GAUGAACGCUAGCUACAGGCUUAACACAUGCAAGUCGAGGGACCGGCGCACGGGUGAGUAACACGUAUCCAACCUGCCCUUUACUCGGGGAUAGCCUUUCGAAAGAAAGAUUAAUACCCGAUGUAAAGGAUGGGGAUGCGUUCCAUUAGGUUGUUGGUGAGGGAACGGCUAACCAAGCCUUCGAUGGCUAGGGGUUCGGAGAGGAAGGCCCCCCACAUUGGAACUGCGACCCGGUCCAAAACCCGACGGAGGGCAGGAGUGAGGAAGAUUGGGCAAUGGGCGUUAGCCUGAACCAGCCGAGUAGAGUGAAGGAUGAAGGCUUAUGGGUCGUAAACUUCUUUUAUAUAAGAAGAUGUAUUAUAUGAAUAAGGAUCGGCUAACUCCGUGCCAGCAGCCGCGGUAAUAC
rnacentral:rRNA from 1 species